UGGAGGUAGUGACAAUAAAUCACAAUGCGGGACUCCUAGUCUUGCAAUUGGAUUGAGAACAACGUACAACUCUUAUCGAUAAGCCAUUGGAGGGCAAGUCUGGUGCCAGCAGCCGCGGUAAUUCCAGCUCCAAUAGCGUAUAUUAACGUUGUUGCAGUUAAAAAGCUCGUAGUUGAAGUGAGGGAGUGUGUGUUCAUGAGAGCUAGUCUCGAGUGUUCACAACCUCCCCCCUCCAAUCGGUGUAGUGGGGUAUUCAGUUAUUUCACUACUCCUUUGGUCGUUUACUGUGAGAAAAUUAGAGUGUUCAAAGCGGGCGUUUGUUUGAAUAGAUUAGCAUGGAAUAAUGAUUGAAGGCUUUCGUGUUCGAUUUGAUUGGUUUGUUCAUGGAAGCAAGGUUAAAAGGAACAGCUGGGGGUAUUCAUAUUCACUAGUUAGAGGUGAAAUUCUCGGAUUUAUGGAAGAUGAACAAGUGCGAAAGCAA
rnacentral:rRNA from 1 species